rnacentral:lncRNA from 1 species
GCAUCGUCGAGGUCAGCCAUUACAAGGUAGACCCAGGACGAAGAGCCCACUCUCUUGGCGCGCGAAGUGUUUUUUCGAAGGACCCACUGUUGGUGCCACUCAACCCAGCUUCUGGGAGCGGGGACUCACUCUCCCUGAGAAGUGGACUAUGCUGGUGCCCUCCGCCACCCUCCCCAAUUCCGAAGCUGGAGACUGGUCCUCUCUUCAGUGCUUGGGAGGGUGAUCCAUGCAAGUACCCCAGGUCUGCCUUCUCUCGGGGAAACCCGGAUAAUGGCCAUAAGGGCCUCUGAGGGCCAGCUUCCCUGAAAUAACUUCCUGUCGUGCCUAUCUCGCAGUAGGCCCUUUGCCGCCUCUUAGCCUGGAGGCAGGGUUAUUGGUACUGGACAAAGACAGCCCCUAAAGGGAUAACCCACCCGGAGUCGACUCAGAACGGCCUCUAGACCCUGCGGUCUCUCAGCCAGUUAUCCACUCUGAUAAUCCACCGGUCAGGGAAUGAAGCGGGGCCUGAGCCCAGGCCCUCUGAGAGGAGACCCAACACUGCAGAAUGGGGUGAGGUAGAAUGUGUAGGGAAGAGAGCCUGGGGACAGAGGCGAGAAUGGGAGGAGUCUGGAGCCUGGAACGAGGGCAGGCAAGUCAGACCAUCUGUGGUUCCAACCGUAUUGCGUCCAGCAUUAGCAGAACCCCAGGUAUUUGAUGCCCCCCAUGAUCUCCGCCAUGCUGCCCAUCUCAGAGCUCGCUGGCACACCCCCCACCCGGCCCUUUCCAGCUCGCGCACCUGGCGGCCUCGGACUCAGACCCAGGCAGGACCCCAGGGAGACUUCAUUUCUUCCAGGACCAGUGCACAGCAGAGUGGAGCCGAGGUCGGGCAGCUGCGGGAAAGGGGGUGGGGGGGGCGUGAUCGCUCCACUCAGAUCCUGCUGCCCUCUUUCCAUACUGAAGAGGUCCGAGUGCAGACCCCCAACCCUUUGGUUGCCCCUCAUAACCUCCUGAUAACAGAGCCUCAUCUGCACCCUUGACUGGGCCCACUUGAGGCCCUGUAGACAGAGCUCCUGGAGCGCUGCCCUGCACACGACCCCUGGGGGCGCCCCCCAGAGCUGGCGGGUGGGGUACUGGGGUUCUUUCCUGAGACUUGCCCUAGGUACUCUAGGGACUGUGAGCGCAAGGCGCGGACAUGUCCCCUUUGCAGGCUCAGGGUCCCCGCCUGAGAUGUAACUGACCAGAGAUGUAACUGACCAGGGUUGAAAAAAACGACUUAAGAAACCAGAGUCUCCGCCUGUGGGUAUUAAUGCUGUUUACUUAUUCUCUGUAAACCCUGCUUGGAACUUUUCAGUCCUGGCUCUGAAAGGCAGCUGGAGAGUGUACAACCGCAGGACAUUGACAGGGGAACAGCGCCCCCUUGUGGUUAACGUUUGGUGACUUCGAAGAUCAUGAGAAAACCUCGCAAAAUGGUGAAACUCGUAAUUGUAGAAUCACAGAAACAGCUGGGUUUAUGAGUAGUAUAGGAACAAAUUAGAACAAUGGAACAUUGUUUCUCCUACCAGACUGGGAAGUGUUACAAAAAUAGAUAAUACCCAUCAUAAAUUGCCAGAUGGGAGAUUAAAAAUGAAAUGCUCUCCCUGGGAACCUUUUGGAACAAGGAAUCAAAAAGCUUAGAAAUGCAACCACUUUGAUCUAGCUAUUCCUUUUUUAGGGAUUAAUCCUUAAAUUUCUGACAAGCAGGAAAGGGGGUAGUAAAGGAUUACACAGAAUCAUUGGUUAUCAUAGCAAAAUUAAGAAAAACAUGCAAUUGUUUAAACGCAUUAAAUAAGAUCCGUAUAAUGGACCACUAUGCAAUUAUUUAAAAUGGUGCUGUGAGUAUUUUGUCAUUGAAAUGGCUACAAACAUUGAAAUGGCUAAAUUAACUGGAAACAGGGUUUAAAAGAAUACAUACAGUUUGUAACAGGCGAGGUCCUUCAGAGCAGAUGAUGGAGAGACCAUGGGUAGGAGGGGAAGCAAUUAGGGAUAAACGUCUAUGAAAGCAAGCAAGCAAAAGUGGGCUUGGGUAGAGGGAAAAGUCAAACCAUAAUGCAGGGCUAACAAAACCUCAGCCAGCUGACAGGGACUCCAGAACAAGCAGGAUCCAUCAGAGUUAGCUGGGUCAACACCAGGUGACCAGAUCUUUAUACCCAUACCUCUCCCAGGCACAGGAAGGUGCUGCCAGGGAAGAGCCUGACCUCAGGAGGCAUCUGCAGCCGAAGCCAACUGCUGAAACUCAUAACCUGGGGCUGUCCACUAAACAAACUCCUCCCAGGUGAGUGACAAGUCCUCCUUGAUAGGUAGUAGACAUCUCUGCAUGCACCACACCAUAUAUCUUUGUGUUUUCAGAAAACAAAUGACACCUAUCUACACCCAUGGGGAAAAAAAUCUGAAGAAAAAUAAACUGUUUUUGUAGAACAACUGCCAAAAAGUGAAGAGCCCUGGUGGUGGUUAAUUUCAUGUGUCAAUUCACCUGGCCAUGGGGUGCCCACAUUAAACAUUGUUUCUGCAUGUGUCUGGGAACAUGUGUGUUUCUGGAUUAGAUUUACAUUGGAAUCAGCAGACUCAGUGAAGUAGAUUGCCCUCCCCCAUGUGGGUGGGCAUCAUACAAUCCCUUCAGGGCCUUGCUGGAGCAAAAAGCAGAGGAAGGAGGAAUUCACCCCUUUUCUACCACAUUGCUUGAGCUAAGGCAUGUAUCUUCUGCCCUCAGGGCUCCUGGUUCACAGACCUUCAGACCUAGACUGGAAUCUGCACCAUUGGCUUCCUUGGUUCUCAGGCCUUGAGAGUCCAACUAAAUUACACCACCAGCUUUCCUGGGUCUCCAGUUUGCAGAUGGCAGAUCUUGGGAUUCUGCAAACUCCAUAAUUAAGUAAGCAUCUGACUCUUGAUUUGGCUCAGGUCAUAAUCUCAUGGUUUGUGAGUUUGAGCCCCAGGUCAGGCUCUACGCACUGACAUCACGGACUCAGCUUGGGAUUCUCUCUCUCUCCCUUUCUCUGCCCCUCCCCAACUCACGUUCUCUCUGUCUCUCUCAAAAUAAACUAAAAACAACCCACAAAUUUGUUACCACACAAUCUGGAGGUCAGCAGUCUUAGACUUGUCUUACAAAACUAAAAUCAGUUGUCAGCAGGGCUGUGUU